rnacentral:misc_RNA from 1 species
UCCGGUUUAUCACCGGCAGUCACCUUAGAGUGCCCAACUUAAUGCUGGCAACUAAGAUCAAGGGUUGCGCUCGUUGCGGGACUUAACCCAACAUCUCACGACACGAGCUGACGACAACCAUGCACCACCUGUCACGUUGUCCCCGAAGGGAAAACUCUAUCUCUAGAGCGGUCAACGGAUGUCAAGACCUGGUAAGGUUCUUCGCGUUGCUUCGAAUUAAACCACAUGCUCCACCGCUUGUGCGGGCCCCCGUCAAUUCCUUUGAGUUUCAACCUUGCGGUCGUAGUCCCCAGGCGGAGUGCUUAUUGCGUUAACUACAGCACUAAGGGUGGAAACCCCUAACACCUAGCACUCAUCGUUUACGGCGUGGACUAC